UACGUAGGUGGCAAGCGUUGUCCGGAAUUAUUGGGCGUAAAGCGCGCGCAGGCGGCUUCUUAAGUCUGAUGUGAAAUCUCGGGGCUCAACCCCGAGCGGCCAUUGGAAACUGGGAAGCUUGAGUACAGAAGAGGAGAGUGGAAUUCCACGUGUAGCGGUGAAAUGCGUAGAUAUGUGGAGGAACACCAGUGGCGAAGGCGACUCUCUGGGCCUGUACUGACGCUGAGGAACGAAAGCGUGGGGAGCGAACAGG
rnacentral:rRNA from 1 species